rnacentral:rRNA from 1 species
GAGCGGAUGAAGGGAGCUUGCUCCCGGAUUCAGCGGCGGACGGGUGAGUAAUGCCUAGGAAUCUGCCUGGUAGUGGGGGACAACGUUUCGAAAGGAACGCUAAUACCGCAUACGUCCUACGGGAGAAAGCAGGGGACCUUCGGGCCUUGCGCUAUCAGAUGAGCCUAGGUCGGAUUAGCUAGUUGGUGAGGUAAUGGCUCACCAAGGCGACGAUCCGUAACUGGUCUGAGAGGAUGAUCAGUCACACUGGAACUGAGACACGGUCCAGACUCCUACGGGAGGCAGCAGUGGGGAAUAUUGGACAAUGGGCGAAAGCCUGAUCCAGCCAUGCCGCGUGUGUGAAGAAGGUCUUCGGAUUGUAAAGCACUUUAAGUUGGGAGGAAGGGUUGUAGAUUAAUACUCUGCAAUUUUGACGUUACCGACAGAAUAAGCACCGGCUAACUCUGUG